rnacentral:rRNA from 1 species
GGUGUAGGCGGCUUGGCAAGUCGGGUGUGAAAUCCCAGGGCUCAACCCUGGACGUGCACUCGAAACUGCCGAGCUCGAGUCCUGGAGAGGAAGGUGGAAUGCUUGGUGUAGAGGUGAAAUUCGUAGAUAUCAAGCGGAACACCGGUGGCGAAGGCGGCCUUCUGGACAGUGACUGACGCUGAGACCCGAAAGCGUGGGGAGCAAACA